rnacentral:rRNA from 1 species
AGGUAAUAAUAUUUAACGAAACCUAUUUAUUAUGGCGGCAUUUAUCUAAUUAGAGGAACUUGUAUUUUAAUCGACAAUCCCCGUUACCUUUUACUUUAAUUUAAUAUAAUAUAAUUUAUAUACCGCCACUAAAGAAUUAAUAUAAAAUAUUUUCGUAAUAAAAAAUAAUAAAUUAGGUCAAGGUGUAAUCAAUAUUAAAGUUAAUAAUGAGUUACUUUAAAAAUAAUUUAAAGAUUUUAAAAAAAUAAAUUUUCAUGAAAUAGGAUUUACAAGUAAAUAUACAAUAUUAUUUUUUAAUGAAAUAGAUAAUAAAUGUGU